UACUGUAAAAAUCCACAGUACAAUACUGCAUGUGUAUAUUACAGUAAAAUACUGCAGUUCAUAAUGCAUUAUGGGUAAUUUUGAUUGAGCGGGAAACUUCUACAGUAUAUUUUGGUCUCGCUGUAACCUAGCUGUAGCCUUGCUGUAAUGUGUUAGUCAAUAAUACAGGAUUGGUGUAGCGAAAGUGCGCCACAACGUCAAAUCACGUCAAAUCACACAGAGCACAACUCCUGGCUGCAGCUGGAGGAGGAUAUUCGAUUCGAUUUCUGGCAGUUCGGUAAGUUUGCAGUUUGGUUUAUUUAUGUUUCAUGCAAAGCUAUUAUUUAGUUUUAGUAUUUUGCACAACAGUUUGUCACAAUGUUGUUUUAAACGUGGAAUGAGAGAAAAGGUCGCCAACAAACGUUGCAGUCUCCCUCAGAAAUUAAACUACGUUAGAUGUCUAACUGUUACCCACUGCUUAAACCCGAUUUACACAUCCCACUUAAUUAAUCAUGAGGGUUUUGGUGAAUUUAUUUUCUGUGGAAUUGUUUAAGUUCGUUUACAAUGGCAUGCUCUAGCGUGACAGUUUGGUCCCUUUUUGCACCCUGGGUUUAUGGGUUUUCUAUCAAGACUUAAUGGCGACUUCAGUCAUCCUGCUCUUGAUGGCCUUCUUCAGAGAGGCGAUGGACUCCCUGUUCAUCUUAACUGAUGUAAGUAUUGUUUUAUCUCAAAACAUUCAUUGUUUGUUUUGCCUGCAGCACCAUGAGAACAUUUGCAGUUACCUUUAAUUUUUAGAUUGAAGAACUGGACCCUGAUGCCAUCAUGUUUUCUGUAGUUACUUCAAGUUUUGAGUAUUGCUUCAUGUUGUUUUACUAUGUUACAGGUCACUGCAACCCAGGCAGAUGUGGAGGCACAGCAGGUCAUACCAGAUACCAGAGACACCCAGACUCAUUAUGCUCGGUAAGUUUGUACUUUCCCACUACAGUUUCUUUAAAUACCCAUGUAUACACCCACACACUACACUACACUCUCACACACCCACACACUACACUACACUCUCACACACCCACACACUACACUUUCACACACCCACACACUACACUCUCACACACCCACACACUACACUACACUCUCACACACCCACACACUACACUACACUCUCACACACCCACACAC